UACAGAGGUCCCAAGCGUUAUCCGGAUUCACUGGGUUUAAAGGGUGCGUAGGUGGGUAGGUAAGUCAGUGGUGAAAUCCCCCGAGCUUAACUCGGGAACUGCCGUUGAUACUAUCUAUCUUGAAUAUCGUGGAGGUGAGCGGAAUAUGUCAUGUAGCGGUGAAAUGCUUAGAUAUGACAUAGAACACCAAUUGCGAAGGCAGCUCACUACACGAGCAUUGACUCUGAGGCACGAAAAGCGUGGGGGAUCAAAACAGG
rnacentral:rRNA from 1 species